CUCUAGGAAGGCCACAGAACCAUUGGGAAAAACAGUGCCGAGGUGAUAUGAGGCUGUUGGUGCUGUGGCAUUGGAGAUGGCCCCGGGAAACUGCACGCUGCUGCCAUCGCCCCCACCACGGCCAGGAGGGAGUCUUCCCUGCCCCGCCUCUGGGUGGCAUUGCUUCCAGAAUCCACAUCCCAGGUUGCUAUGACUAUCACAGGAACUAGGAACUUCUCCCGAGCUCUGCUAAAGCCGUUGAAAAAA